rnacentral:lncRNA from 1 species
GUGUGAGCAGGGGGCUGGCAUCACACUCACUGGCACCUGGGUAUUUUCCUCAGACUGGAAGAGCAGGGUGAGCACCACACUGCACUGGGCACCAUGGGCACUUCCAGGAUAGUCAUGAUAGAAGCAUUAUUUUGAGAAACUGGAGGCUGCCAACCAUACUAGAAGACAGCUUUGGAAGCAGAUUUUAUUCCAUGGACUACAACUGGCCACCCUUCAAGUAUAGGUGAACCCAGGAACCUGAUGAGGUCCCAUAUGGAUCUGUCUGCCUCAUUCCACCCAGCUCUUUCCUGAGGGGUUCAGAGUGCCACUGCUGCUGAGAGCAUUCCUGUUGUGACAAGCAACCACUAAGUGCUGCUGGAGUC